rnacentral:rRNA from 1 species
ACGCUCGACACCUACUGGAGGCAGCAGUGGGGAAUAUUGCACAAUGGGGGAAACCCUGAUGCAGCGACGCCGCGUGAGUGAAGAAGUAAUUCGUUAUGUAAAGCUCUAUCAGCAGGGAAGAAAGUGACGGUACCUGAGUAAGAAGCCCCGGCUAACUACGUGCCACAGCCGCGGUAAUCUGAGCGGGCUGGCAAGGC